AAUUUUGGACAAUGGGGGAAACCCUGAUCCAGCCAUCCCGCGCGUAUGAUGAAGGCCGUCGGGUUGUAAAGUACUUUUGUCAGAGAAGAAAAGGUACAUCUUAAUACGAGGUACUGCUGACGGUAUCUGCAGAAUACGCACUGGCUAACUACGUGCCAGCAGCCGCGGUAAUACGUAGGGUGCAAGCGUUAAUCGGAAUUAAUGGGCGUAAAGCGUGUGUAGGCGGUUCGGAAAGAAAGAUGUGAAAUCCCAGGGCUCAACCUUGGAACUGCAUUUUUAACUGCCGAGCUAGAGUAUGUCAGAGGGGGGUAGAAUUCCACGUGUAGCAGUGAAAUGCGUAGAUAUGUGGAGGAAUACCGAUGGCGAAGGCAGCCCCCUGGGAUAAUACUGACGCUCAGACACGAAAGCGUGGGGAGCAAACAG
rnacentral:rRNA from 1 species